rnacentral:rRNA from 1 species
AUGAACGUUGGCGGCGUGGAUUAGGCAUGCAAGUCGAGCGCGAACCCCGCAAGGGGUGAAAGCGGCGAAAGGGAGAGUAACGCGUGGGUAUCUACCCUCGGGACUGGGAUAGCUGCGGGAAACUGCAGGUAAUACCAGAUGACGUCCCCGGACCAAAGGUGUGAUUCCGCCAGAGGAUGAGCCCGCGUCCUAUUAGCUUGUUGGUAGGGUAACGGCCUACCAAGGCAAUGAUGGGUACUGGGUGUGAGAGCACGACCCAGCUCACUGGGACUGAGACACUGCCCAGACACCUACGGGUGGCUGCAGUCGAGAAUCUUCGGCAAUGGGCGAAAGCCUGACCGAGCGACGCCGCGUGUGGGAUGAAGGCCUUCGGGUUGUAAACCGCUGUCAGAGGGGAGGAAAUGCGUGGGGGUACUCCCCUGCGUUUGACCUAUCCUCAGAGGAAGUACGGGCUAAGUUCGU